rnacentral:rRNA from 2 species
UGAAAUUGAACUCGCUGUGAAGAUGCAGUGUACCCGCGGCAAGACGGAAAGACCCCGUGAACCUUUACUAUAGCUUGACACUGAACAUUGAGCCUUGAUGUGUAGGAUAGGUGGGAGGCUUUGAAGUGUGGACGCCAGUCUGCAUGGAGCCGACCUUGAAAUACCACCCUUUAAUGUUUGAUGUUCUAACGUGGACCCGUGAUCCGGGUUGCGGACAGUGUCUGGUGGGUAGUUUGACUGGGGCGGUCUCCUCCUAAAGAGUAACGGAGGAGCACGAAGGUUGGCUAAUCCUGGUCGGACAUCAGGAGGUUAGUGCAAUGGCAUAAGCCAGCUUGACUGCGAGCGUGACGGCGCGAGCAGGUGCGAAAGCAGGUCAUAGUGAUCCGGUGGUUCUGAAUGGAAGGGCCAUCGCUCAACGGAUAAAAGGUACUCCGGGGAUAACAGGCUGAUACCGCCCAAGAGUUCAUAUCGACGGCGGUGUUUGGCACCUCGAUGUCGGCUCAUCACAUCCUGGGGCUGAAGUAGGUCCCAAGGGUAUGGCUGUUCGCCAUUUAAAGUGGUACGCGAGCUGGGUUUAGAACGUCGUGAGACAGUUCGGUCCCUAUCUGCCGUGGGCGCUGGAGAACUGAGGGGGGCUGCUCCUAGUACGAGAGGACCGGAGUGGACGCAUCACUGGUGUUCGGGUUGUCAUGCCAAUGGCACUGCCCGGUAGCUAAAUGCGGAAGAGAUAAGUGCUGAAAGCAUCUAAGCACGAAACUUGCCCCGA